rnacentral:rRNA from 1 species
UACAGAGGGGGCAAGCGUUAUUCGGAAUUAUUGGGCGUAAAGGGCGCGUAGGCGGCUUGGCAAGUGGAAGGUGAAAUCCCUCGGCUUAACCGAGGAACUGCCCUCCAAACUGCUUCGCUUGAGACCGGGAGAGGUGAGUGGAAUUCCCAGUGUAGCGGUGAAAUGCGUAGAUAUUGGGAGGAACACCAGUGACGAAGGCGGCUCACUGGACCGGUACUGACGCUGAUGCGCGAAAGCGUGGGGAGCAAACGGG